UUAUAAGCAAAAGUUAACUUUUUAGAUUCAUUCAAUAAAUGAUGUAUGUAGUCUAUAUAUAGACCACAUACAUCAUUUAUUGAAUGAACCUAAAAAGCCAACUUUUGCUUAUAA
rfam:Medicago truncatula strain A17 chromosome 7, whole genome shotgun sequence.